GACGAACGCUGGCGGCGUGCUUAACACAUGCAAGUCGAACGGUGAAGCGCCUUCCUUUUUGGUGGGUGUGGAUGAGUGGCGAACGGGUGAGUAACACGUGAGUAACCUGCCCCCUUCUUCUGGAUAACCGCAUGAAAGUGUGGCUAAUACGGGAUAUUCUGGGUCUGUCGCAUGAUGGGUCUGGGAAAGAUAUUGUUUCGGUGGGGGAUGGGCUCGCGGCCUAUCAGCUUGUUGGUGGGGUGAUGGCCUACCAAGGCGGUGACGGGUAGCCGGCCUGAGAGGGUGGACGGUCACACUGGGACUGAGACACGGCCCGGACUCCUACGGGAGGCAGCAGUGGGGAAUAUUGCACGAUGGGCGCAAGCCUGAUGCAGCGACGCCGCGUGAGGGAUGGAGGCCUUCGGGUUGUGAACCUCUUUCGCCAGUGAAGCAGGCCUGCCUCGUUUGUGGGUGGGUUGACGGUAGCUGGAUAAGAAGCGCCGGCUAACUACGUG
rnacentral:rRNA from 1 species